UAGUAAAAACAUUAAAGAAUAAUUAAAUGACGGUUAAUUCCCGUCCUGUAAACAAAAUUUUAUGGAAGUGAUAAACAAGAUUGAUGCCAAGUUCCGAAAGGUGUCCUACGUGUCUGGUAUCAGGGUAAACACGAGAAGCGGUCAUUAGUGCUUUUCUAUAAAUUUUGGCUUCGGUCUCAUUCAUGUUACUGUAUUCUAUAUUAAGUAUUAGGAAAGGUAUAGGUAACGGGGUGAUCGUCUAUUCGUAUCACAGUAAAAUGUCGGGACAAGUAUCUGAUGCCAAGCCAAUUUUGACAAGGAUUUCUGUAGUUCCAAAAAAUUCGUCCCAUCUUAGUGAUUCACCAACCUUGAUGGGUGCUGCGUAUUCUACUACGCCUGUAGGUACAAAAAUGGUAUAUGAAAGAGCCGUCAUAAUGAAUUUGCGCAACUCUCCAAUCUCAAACACGCCGCCGAAUUGGAAAAUUCCGCAAUCAAUAGCAAUAAAUCAUGGAUCUUUGCAGUGUAUUGAAAAGAAACAUAGUCCGUCUAAAAGAAUUUGCGCCGAGAAGAGAAAUGCGGACUUUUUCGGUCAAUUUGCAGACGAUGCCGAACAAUUCGACAUGGAAAUGUAGUUAUUUAAUUUUUUAUAAAUCAAGUGCAAUAGGCCAUGUUGGUGUCAUAGAUGGCUUUCUAACAUUUUAUAACCACCUUGUAUUUUUACAAAUUUUUAUAGGCUUUUAAACGGUUAGCAUUAAUUAUAAAGUGUGAAUACCAAACAUGAUCAUGUCAUUUGUCAA